rnacentral:rRNA from 3 species
CCUGGUGACCAUAGAGAACUAGAACCACCUGAUCCCAUACCGAACUCAGUAGUGAAAUGGUUCAUCGCCGAUGGUAGUGUGGGGUCUCCCCAUGUGAGAGUAGGUCAUUGCCAGGC